rnacentral:lncRNA from 1 species
CUGCCACCUUGUGAAGAAGGAUGUUUUUGCUUCCCCUUCUGCCAUGAUUCUUCAGUUUGUCAGAACCAGUUGGGAUGCAACAGGAUUUUCAGUUUUGCUGCCUUCCAUGCAUGAAUGGCUGUUGGAAUGACCAAGAUGAUUUUUCCACCCAUUCUUGGGACCUGGACUAUGAUGGCCACAGCAGCUAAAGAUGCCAGGUUCUGCAUACUAUGAAACUACUACAUCAGCAGGUCCAAAGGACUCCACUGACUCAACUGAUCUGAGGGACCCCAUGAGAAGCCUACUCAUCAAAGAAUGCAGUUUCUAAAUCCUGAUGAGUUCACCCCCCUUGCCCUGACCAAUCAACAAUCCUAAUUCUCCAGUCCCUUGCCCUCCAUGAUCCUCUUAAAAACCCUAGCCCAGAAUUCCUCAGGAAGAUGGAUUUGAGGGUCUCCUUCCAACUCCUCACUCAGCGCCCUGUGGUCAUUAAACUUUCUCUG